rnacentral:rRNA from 1 species
GAUGAACGCUGGCGGCGUGCCUAAUACAUGCAAGUCGAGCGAACAGACGAGGAGCUUGCUCCUCUGACGUUAGCGGCGGACGGGUGAGUAACACGUGGAUAACCUACCUAUAAGACUGGGAUAACUUCGGGAAACCGGAGCUAAUACCGGAUAAUAUAUUGAACCGCAUGGUUCAAUAGUGAAAGACGGUUUUGCUGUCACUUAUAGAUGGAUCCGCGCCGCAUUAGCUAGUUGGUAAGGUAACGGCUUACCAAGGCAACGAUGCGUAGCCGACCUGAGAGCGUGAUCGGCCACACUGGGACUGAGACACGGUCCCGACUCCUACGGGAGGCAGCAGUAGGGAAUCUUCCGCAAAGGGCGAAAGCCUGACGGAGCAACGCCGCGUGAGUGAUGAAGGUCUUCGGAUCGUAAAGCUCUGUUAUUAGGGAAGAACAAAUGUGUAAGUAACUGUGCGCGUCUUGACGGUACCUAAUCAGAAAGCCACGGCUAACUACGUG